rnacentral:rRNA from 1 species
GUGGAUUAGAUACCCUGGUAGUCCACGCCGUAAACGGUGGGUGCUAGGUGUGGGGGGCUUCCACGCCCUCUGUGCCGCAGCUAACGCAUUAAGCACCCCGCCUGGGGAGUACGGCCGCAAGGCUAAAACUCAAAGGAAUUGACGGGGGCCCGCACAAGCGGCGGAGCAUGUGGAUUAAUUCGAUGCAACGCGAAGAACCUUACCUGGGCUUGACAUGCACUGGAAACCAGUAGAGAUAUUGGCCCCCUUGUGGCCGGUGUACAGGUGGUGCACGGCCGUCGCCAGCU